GGGAGGCGGAAGUGCCUCGGGCCGCCGCCUCCGUCCCGGCUGCGGACCCUGCCGGUUACAUAACUGGUUGCGGGCUCCGCGCGGCCUCACUUCCUGGCUCCCAGCGAAGCGAGGAUGCACUGAGCCCCACAAAACCGUCCGCUGCCGCCGGCUCCCGCCCGAGGUGUGAAUGACAGAGGUGGUGCCAUCCAGCGCCCUCAGUGAGGUCAGCCUGCGCCUCCUCUGCCACGAUGACAUAGACACCGUGAAGCACCUGUGUGGCGACUGGUUCCCCAUCGAGUACCCAGACUCAUGGUAUCGUGAUAUCACCUCCAACAAGAAGUUCUUUUCCCUCGCCGCAACCUACAGGGGUGCCAUUGUGGGAAUGAUUGUAGCUGAAAUAAAAAGUAGGACCAAGAUACACAAGGAGGACGGAGAUAUUCUAGCCUCCAGCUUCUCCGUUGACACACAGGUUGCGUACAUCCUAAGCCUGGGAGUAGUGAAGGAGUUCAGGAAGCACGGCAUAGGUUCCCUAUUACUUGAGAGUUUAAAGGAUCACAUAUCAACCACUGCCCAGGACCACUGCAAAGCCAUCUACCUGCACGUCCUCACUACCAACAAUACGGCGAUAAACUUCUACGAAAACAGAGACUUUAAGCAGCAUCACUAUCUCCCCUAUUACUACUCCAUCCGAGGAGUCCUCAAAGAUGGCUUCACCUACGUCCUCUACAUCAACGGCGGCCACCCACCCUGGACCAUCUUAUAUCCUUUCUCUUUCGGGGGUGAGGGAUCGUGGCCCGUGUGCCAGCUAGAGCUGUGGUCGCCUUCAUGUGGUAUCCUCGAGGCCAAGCUCACGGGACCAGAUGUUGUGGGUGGGUGUGACCAGCACGUCUUGGGAAAUGAUGAUCUGGGCGUGGACACUGGGAAAGCAGAUGCGCUCUGGCUCUCGGUGCUCGCUGGACGUCAGCCUGGUGUGAGGGGAGGGUGUUCAGCUUCCUGGCCCAAGAGCCAUCCCUCUUUCAAGUAUGGAUUGGGAGCCUCCUGUUCCAGGGGCACAGGGGAAACAACAGUGAACAAAACAGACAGAAGCGGCUGCUCUCACAGGGCUCUGUGCUGGAGGGGAGAAAACAAGCAAUGAGGUGAAAAGAAUUGUUUGCUGUUUUUGAACACUUGGGUUCAAACCUUCUUUACCAGGAUCUACCGCCAGGCUCACAGCCUGCUCUGCAGCUUCCUGCCAUGGUCAAGCAUCUCCACCAAGGGUGGCAUCGAGUACAGCCGGACCAUGUGAUGCCAUCCGGGCAGCCUCUGCCGGGCCCCACCCCUCGGC